AGUGAACGCUGGCGGCGUGCCUAACACAUGCAAGUCGAACGAGAACGGGCUAUAGCUUGCUAUAACUGUCAGCUAAGUGGCGCACGGGUGAGUAAUAUAUAGUUAACCUGCCCUAGAGAAGGGGAUAACGUUUGGAAACGGACGCUAAUACCCUAUAUGCCUUUAAGACAAAAGUCUGCAAGGGAAAUAUUUAUAGCUCUAGGAUGGGACUGUACGGUAUCAGAUAGUUGGUGAGGUAAUGGCUCACCAAGUCAAUGACGCCUAACUGGUUUGAGAGGAUGAUCAGUCACACUGGGACUGAGACACGGUCCAG
rnacentral:rRNA from 1 species